GUGAUCUAGUGUAAUUUUUUCCAUAAAGCUACAAGUUGAGUUAAAGGAAAAAAGUGGAUUUUUUAGAACAACACAUAACAGUUCAUGUGAUUUAUCAUACAAAUUUAUUAAACUGUACAUCAGUAAACAACCUAUUUUGGAGGUAGGAUAUCAUGAAAGAGUGUUGUACUGGUGGGAAUUUUCCAAAAGUGGAUUGGCAACACUGAUU